UCGGGUAAGUCUUAUACGACCAGCUCCCUCUGAAAUCCCCCAGGACAGGAAUGUAGCAAGGGUAGGUGCGAUAUGAGUAGCUUACCCU
rnacentral:SRP_RNA from 1 species